GUGUCUUGUGUGCAUUUUAUUACAAAAAAAAAAAAAAAAAAACACAUUCUAUAUAUAAUUGGCCAUAAUUUCGAUAGAUUUUCUAAUCUGGCAACAUUCGAUAACGUCAUCAGUUUAGAGAAGGAUAGCAUUGUUGAAUAAAAAUUACAUUGGAAUUGUGUAUGUGAUGCAUCUGUUGGUGCACUAGCCGGAAAUAUGAUCCCGUACACUUGGAUUUUUCUCUAGCCGCUAAAGUCAACUGUCACCGCAGUGAAGCCAGCCGACUCUCGACUCGACAGAAAACGCAGCUACAGGUUGCAGCAAAGAGGCCUCAACAAUCGUUCCAGAUUCUUCAUCAAGAUAAAUCCAGAGCACAGCAAGUGCAAUUCGAAGGUCCAGGUUAGCAGAAGAACUGGGAAGGUGGUCCAAAGAAAAAACGAGUCCCUCAAUCCACAUGUGGCAUUGUUCAUCAGGGACUUAAUUGAGUAUGACUGGAAGAACAACUAAUACCAGGGUGGAAGACUCCAGCCCAUGAAAUUGACUAGUUCAGGCCCGUUUUUGAAGAAAAAUACAGUUCUGGGAGAAAAACAACGUUCAGGGACCAAAUUCUACUGUUUGAAA